rnacentral:rRNA from 1 species
ACAUGCAAGUCGAGCGGUAACAGAAAUUAGCUUGCUAAUUUGCUGACGAGCGGCGGACGGGUGAGUAAUGCCUGGGAAUAUGCCUUAGUGUGGGGGAUAACUAUUGGAAACGAUAGCUAAUACCGCAUAAUGUCUUCGGACCAAAGAGGGGGACCUUCGGGCCUCUCGCGCUAAGAUUAGCCCAGGUGAGAUUAGCUAGUUGGUGAGGUAAGAGCUCACCAAGGCGACGAUCUCUAGCUGGUCUGAGAGGAUGAUCAGCUACACUGGAACUGAGACACGGUCCAGACUCCUACGGGAGGCAGCAGUGGGGAAUAUUGCACAAUGGGCGAAAGCCUGAUGCAGCCAUGCCGCGUGUAUGAAGAAGGCCUUCGGGUUGUAAAGUACUUUCAGUAGGGAGGAAGGCGUAGUCGUUAAUAGCGGCUUCGUUUGACGUUACCUACAGAAGAAGCACCGGCUAACUCCGUGCCGGCAGCCGCGGUAAUACGGAGGGUGCGAGCGUUAAUCGGAAUUACUGGGCGUAAAGCGCAUGCAGGUGGUUCAUUAAGUCAGAUGUGAAAGCCCGGGGCUCAACCUCGGAACCGCAUUUGAAACUGGUGAACUAGAGUGCUGUAGAGGGGGGUAGAAUUUCAGGUGUAGCGGUGAAAUGCGUAGAGAUCUGAAGGAAUACCAGUGGCGAAGGCGGCCCCCUGGACAGACACUGACACUCAGAUGCGAAAGCGUGGGGAGCAAACAGGAUUAGAUACCCUGGUAGUCCACGCCGUAAACGAUGUCUACUUGGAGGUUGUGGCCUUGAGCCGUGGCUUUCGGAGCUAACGCGUUAAGUAGACCGCCUGGGGAGUACG